UGCCCUAGUAACGGCGAGUGAAGCGGCAACAGCUCAAAUUUGAAAUCUGGCUCUCGGGCCCGAGUUGUAAUUUGUAGAGGAUACUUUUGAUGCGGUGCCUUCCGAGUUCCCUGGAACGGGACGCCAUAGAGGGUGAGAGCCCCGUCUGGUUGGAUGCCAAAUCUCUGUAAAGUUCCUUCGACGAGUCGAGUAGUUUGGGAAUGCUGCUCUAAAUGGGAGGUAUAUGUCUUCUAAAGCUAAAUACCGGCCAGAGACCGAUAGCGCACAAGUAGAGUGAUCGAAAGAUGAAAAGCACUUUGAAAAGAGAGUUAAAAAGUACGUGAAAUUGUUGAAAGGGAAGCGUUUAUGACCAGACUUGGGCUUGGUUAAUCAUCUGGGGUUCUCCCCAGUGCACUUUUCCAGUCCAGGCCAGCAUCAGUUUUCGCCGGGGGAUAAAGACUUCGGGAAUGUGGCUCUCUUCGGGGAGUGUUAUAGCCCGUUGUGUAAUACCCUGGCGGGGACUGAGGUUCGCGCAUCUGCAAGGAUGCUGGCGUAAUGGUCAUCAACGACCCGUCUUGAAACACGGACCAAGGAGUCGUCUUCGUAUGCGAGUGUUCGGGUGUCAAACCCCUACGCGUAAUGAAAGUGAACGCAGGUGAGAGCUUCGGCGCAUCAUCGACCGAUCCUGAUGUUCUCGGAUGGAUUUGAGUAAGAGCAUACGGGGCCGGACCCGAAAGAAGGUGAACUAUGCCUGUAUAGGGUGAAGCCAGAGGAAACUCUGGUGGAGGCUCGCAGCGGUUCUGACGUGCAAAUCGAUUCGUCAAAUAUGGGCAUG
rnacentral:rRNA from 1 species